rnacentral:tRNA from 1 species
GCGCAGGUAGCUCAGUCGGUAGAGCAGGGGACUGAAAAUCCCCGUGUCGGCGGUUCGAUUCCGCCCCUGCGCA